CCUACGGGUGGCAGCAGUGAGGAAUAUUGGUCAAUGGACGAGAGUCUGAACCAGCCAAGUAGCGUGAAGGAUGACUGCCCUAUGGGUUGUAAACUUCUUUUAUAUGGGAAUAAAAUGUUCCACGUGUGGGAUUUUGUAUGUACCAUAUGAAUACGGAUCGGCUAACUCCGUGCCAGCAGCCGCGGUAAUACGGAGGAUCCGAGCGUUAUCCGGAUUUAUUGGGUUUAAAGGGAGCGUAGGUGGAUUGUUAAGUCAGUUGUGAAAGUUUGCGGCUCAACCGUAAAAUUGCAGUUGAUACUGGCAGUCUUGAGUACAGUAGAGGUGGGCGGAAUUCGUGGGGUAGCGGUGAAAUGCUUAGAGAUCACGAAGAACUCCGAUUGCGAAGGCAGUUCACUGGACUGCAACUGACACUGAGGCUCGAAAGUGUGGGUAUCAAACAGGAUUAGAUACCCCGGUAGUC
rnacentral:rRNA from 1 species